rnacentral:rRNA from 1 species
GACGAACGCUGGCGGCGUGCCUAAUACAUGCAAGUCGAACGCAGUGGGGACGGGUGAGUAACACGUGGGUAACCUCCCAUCAGAGGGGAUAACACUUGGACACAGGUGCUAAACCCAUACUGCUGGAUGGCCCCUCGGUGCAUUGGCUAGUUGGUGAGGUAACGGCUCACCAAGGCUACGCUGCAUAGCCGACAUGAGAGGGGGAUGGGCAACACUGGGAGUUAGACACGGCCCAGACUGGUACGGGAGGCAGCAUUAGGGAAUCGUCGGCAAUGGACGAAAGUCUGACCGAGCAACGCCGCGUGAGUGAAGAAGGUUUUCGGAUCGUAAAACUCUGUUGUUAGAGAAGCGGUAUCUAACCAGAAAGCCACGGCUAACUACGUGCGAACAGCCGCGGUAAUAC